rnacentral:misc_RNA from 1 species
GAUGAAGAACGCAGCGAAACGCGAUAUGUAAUGUGAAUUGCAGAAUUCAGUGAAUCAUCGAAUCUUUGAACGCACAUGGCGCCUUCCAGUAUCCUGGGAGGCAUGCCUGUCCGAGCGUCGUUUCAACCCUCGAGCCCCCGUGGCCCGGCGUUGGGGAUCUGCCACGGCAGGCCCCUAAAACCAGUGGCGGACCCGAAGGCCCUCUCCUUUGCGCAGUAGCAUCAGCCUCGCAUUGGGAUCCCUCGGCGUCCUGCCUCUAAACCCCCCACAAGUCCGCUCCGGCGGCACCAAGGUUGACCUCGGAUCAGGUAGGAAUACCCGCUGAACUUAAGCAUAUCAAAAGCGGAGGA